rnacentral:sRNA from 1 species
GGAGCCCUGGGGUCAACCUCCCACCCGUGUUUAACGAACCUUGUUGCUUCGGCGAGCCCGCCUCACGGCCGCCGGGGGGCAUCUGCCCCCGGGCCCGCGCCCGCCGAAGCCACCUGUGAACUCGUCUGAAGUAUGUAGUCUGAGACAAUUAUUAAAUUAAUUAAAACUUUCAACAACGGAUCUCUUGGUUCCGGCAUCGAUGAAGAACGCAGCGAAAUGCGAUAACUAAUGUGAAUUGCAGAAUUCAGUGAAUCAUCGAGUCUUUGAACGCACAUUGCGCCCUCUGGUAUUCCGGAGGGCAUGCCUGUCCGAGCGUCAUUGCUGCCCUCCAGCCCGGCUGGUGUGUUGGGCCCCGUCCCCCUUCCCGGGGGGACGGGCCCGAAAGGCAGCGGCGGCACCGCGUCCGGUCCUCGAGCGUAUGGGGCUUUGUCACCCGCUCUUGUAGGCCCGGCCGGCGCCAGCCGACCCCCUCAAUCUAUUUUUCAGG